AUGGAUGUCAAAUCGGCAUUCUUGAAUGGGGAGCUAGAGGAGGAAGUGUAUGUGUCGCAGCCUCCAGGUUUUUCUAUUAAGGGAGAGGAAGACAAGGCCUGUAAAUUGCACAAAGCUCUCUAUGGUUUGCAUCAAGCCCCUCGUGCAUGGAAUGCCAAGUUGGAUGCCACACUUCAAGUGUUGGGUUUCAAAAAAUGUCCAGCAGAACAUGCAGUCUACAAGAAAGUGCAAGGUAUCUCAAGUCUGAUUGUAGGUGUCUAUGUGGAUGAUCUAAUCAUUACGGGUGGUAGUAAGAAAGAAAUAGAAACAUUCAAGGCACAGAUGAAAAGCAAAUUCAGCAUGAGUGACCUUUGGUUGUUGAGUUACUAUCUUGGGAUAGAGGUGAAUCAAAACUCUGAAGGUAUAACUCUCAGCCAGACUGCAUAUGCACAGAGAAUAUUGGAGAAGUGUGGGAUGAAGGAUUGCAAGUCUGCUCACACUCCUAUGGAGCAUCGACUGAAACUCAGCAAAGUAAGUGAAGCUCCCUUAGUUGAUGCCACAUAUUAUCGCACCAUAGUAGGUAGCCUGCGAUAUCUUGUUCACACACGGCCAGAUAUUUGUCAUGCCGUUGGCAUGGUGAGUCGGGUAAUGGAGAAACCAACCACUGAACAUCUGGCAGCAGUAAAACAUAUUCUCAGGUAUGUUCAAGGGACAUUGAGCAUGGGGUGUGUGUACAAGAAAGGAGCCAAGGUGAAGCUGAUUGGGUAUAGUGACAGUGAUCAUGCCGGAGAUGUGGAUGAUAGGAAAAGCACUACAGGGGUGUUGUUCUAUCUUGGUACAAGUCCAAUCAGCUGGUUUUCUCAGAAACAAAAGAUAGUGGCUUUAUCCUCUUGCGAGGCCGAGUAUGUAGCGGCUACAACAGCCGCCUGUCAGGGAGUUUGGCUAGCAAGAUUGCUCUCAAAUCUGUUGGGGACAGAACCUGAGAAGGUAGUGUUGAGAGUAGACAACAAGUCAGCCAUAGCACUCUGUAAAAACCCAGUUUUUCAUGACAGGAGCAAGCACAUUGACCUGAGAUUUCAUUUUGUCAGAGAAUGUGUGGAGGCUGGG
rnacentral:rRNA from 1 species